CUAUGAUGUGGAUUCUACUUACUUCAAAGUGAGGCUUUUAUGUGCUCUUUCCUGCCGCUGUGUCUUUUCCAUAACAGCAGCGAGGAGGAUAUUAAUGAUGUCUCGCCACAGAGCGAACAUAGAAAAACAUGAGCAAAUUUGGGAAAAAUACACUGUAAAAACGUCGGGAAGUCGAGUCUCAGAUUCAGGAGGAGCAGUGUGGUUUUCGUGCUGGCCGUGGAACAGUGGACCAGCUCUACACUCUCGGCAGGGUCCUCGAGGGUGCAUGGGAGUUCGCCCAACAGUCUACCGUGUAUCAAAAAACUGCAACAUAAGUCAUGUUAAAGGCAAACUCCCUUAAGGCCAGUUGCAAGUUGUCCAUCAGGCGCCGCCGGACGGUUACCCGCCCGAAGGCCCGAGCUGGGUCAACAGGUGAGAAAAUAAUGUGGAGAAAAAGGGAAGACAUAGAUAAUUAGGUCUCCACAGAGGGGCCAUAUCAUUAUCAGGAUCCUCCCUCAGACACUUCUUGCUGUUUCACUUAUUAUCUCGCUGCCUUCCAGUAGAGUGGGCGUGCAAGCCGCCAGCUCUGUCAAAUGAGCCAAUUCCAGCACACAGCGAUGAUUCAGCAACACAAGGCGGCUCGUUAUUUUUUUUCACCUACCAAAAGAAGAUUUUUACCCAUUUGUUUGGUUUCUUUAGUAACAUGCAGGAGAUGUACAAACACUUCCUGGCAGUAGUACAACAAUAGGACAGACGCAUUUUGCUUGAAUCCAUAGUUGUUGUGAACUUGCCUGUCCAAGGUUUCCGUUUUUACACUGCAUCCAUACAUGACAACUUCCACGCCUCUCAUCAGCGACAUGCGCCUGAGCCCAGUCGCUAUUCUAAUCACGGUGUCACAGUUCACAUGCAUCAAUGUGCAACCUAGACGUGCCUCCAAGGCCGCCUCAUACUGGUUCCAGAAGCAACAAAUGCCAGCAACAUCUGAUCAAAUAUUGCGGGCCCAUAUGGUAAUCAUCCAAAGAUCCCAUCUGGAGGAUGCACUUCAACCUAUAAAACAAAAACAAAUAGCCUGUGGCAGCUUUCGUUCCCCUCAGGGUUGCAUUUGCAAGUUGUGCUGUGCCAUGCCGUGACAAAUCGUAAGUGCAGGGGCUUCAUUAAUGUCUUUCACAGAAAGCGCACAUUCACUGGCACAGGGCAGACCCAACUGUUAAAAUCACAGUGUUUUAUGGAAAUCACUGUCCUUGCAAGAGUACUGAAAUAUUGAAGCCGGAUUCCAUUUUUUUUGGUAGGAGACUGAAAACUUACGGUGCGAUGAUGCGGAUUUUUGGAGGUCUAAAGCGACAAACAAAUAUGAGAAUACAGUCCCCGACAAAAGUCUUGUCGCUUUUCCAUUUAGUAGAAACAAUUGCUAAUAACCUGACUUUUAAUUAUUCAACUGGUUUCAGAAAUGGCUCAUAUGAAAACUAAAACCCUCCCAAAUGAUGUUGAAUUUACAAAAAUAUAUUUGUUUCACUGAAAAAUGGGUUGGGGCCACCUUAUCUCACCGAAGCUCUGGUUCCAUACCGCCCCAACAGAACACUCCGAUCUCAGAAUGCAGGUCUACUGGUAGUUCCCAGGGUUUAUAAAAGUACUGUCGGAGCUAGAGCCUUUUGCCACCAAGCCCCUGUUUUAUGGAAUCAGCUUCCAGCUAGUAUUAAAGAAGCCGAGACAGUCUGCACAUUUAAGAUUAGAUUAAAAACGUUCCUAUUCGACAAAGCUUAUGGUUAGGCUAGUUGAAGUCGGAGUAGACUCACAGUUUAGUCUAAGCUGCACUAGAAGCUAUAAUGCUGGGGGCAGUACAGCCGCUGAGUUCUAUCUCCUUUUCUUACUCUACCUACCACUUGUCUUACUUUAUUUCUAUUUUCCAAUGUUAAUAUCUAGUUGUCUAGUCUCUUCAUCACUAGUCACCCGGUGUCCCCUUUCCCCCCUCCCCUCUGGGGAGGGGCUAUUUUUCAGCUGCAGCCUCCUGACUGUCCGGACCCCUGGCUGGAUAGACGUCCUCGCUGCUACCCCCGUCUCAUCUGACUAGAGGGACCUCUUCUUGCUCCUUUACUCCACUGUAUUUUUACGGACUAUAACUUCGCUUGCUAAUUCCCAUUAGCAGUUCUGGGGUUCCUGUCUAUCCGUCCUGGGAGUGGAUCUCUCCUGACUGUGGUACUCCCCAAGGUUUCUCAUUUUUCUCCCAAUUGACUCUGGAGUUUUUGGAGUUUUUCCUUGCCGGCAUGGAGGGUCUUAAGGAUAGGGGAUACCCAGGACUUGAACUGUAUCUAUUCAUCUUUGUUGCUUCAUUUCUAAUUGCGUAUCAUAUUGCCUCUGUAAAGCCCUUUGAGACUUCUGUUGUGA